rnacentral:lncRNA from 1 species
GCAAGGUUUGCUUCUCUCUGACGCGACUCCACUCCACCUCAGUUUAAGGCCUCCAUUCUCUCAGGCAGCCCCUCCUCACAGUGCCAGCUCUCCAGCCCCAGAAUCCCUAUUCCUUCCCCUUACCCCUCAGCCCAGGGGUAGUUACAGCUCCCUGUUGCUGCUUGUGUCCAGGUGUCCCCCCUUCCCUGCCUGGACCCUUGGGGACAGUCUCUUCAUGAAACCACCUUUACUUUGGCCCUAGCAGCGCUUGGCAGCCACCUCUCCUCUGCCAGGCUCCUGCAGCUGUUACAUCUCAUGAGGCAAGCCCCCAAAGCAGGCUGGAGGGACCCAGGUCAGCUAAAAUGAGGGGAGACCCAGUUCUUGGAGCCAGAGGCAGGCAGGGGAGGGCGGUCCAGUGGAGACGUCCACGGGGAGGGGUCCUCGGUGGAGUUCACGCUGAUUCCUUCCGUGUUCUCAGUGGACUAGGAGGCAGUGACUGUGCCGGGCGCUAGGACUAGAGACCCAUCACUCCUUUCACAACAGGCUUCCUGAAAUUAUCGUCUGGUUCUUUGCUGAAGGAUAAAGCGUUUUCUCUGCUCUAUUAUUUAGGCUGCUGAGCACCACUGGGUUUGAUUAUUACUAAACUAAUAAGGGGUUAAGGGCGUCGACUCUGGAGCCAGACUGCCCAGCUGGAAUCCUUAUUAUCACCGUUCUGCGAUGUCGGACAGGUAACCCCUGUCUCCAAGCCUCAGCUUUCUCACCUGUAAAAUAGGCGUGCUAAUGACAGGAUCUGCUUCCGAGGGUUCAGGAGGAUUAAAGGAGUUAACACGUAAAACACGCAGAACAGCGCUUGGCCCAUAACGUGCGCCCGGGGCCACUCUUAUCUACAAAAUGAUCGCAGCCAAUUCACAGUUUAGCUGGCGGAUGGGCUGGCCUUGGGGCCAGAUGCCCGGCCCCGUCCCGGCAUCUCAGCAAACUGGCCACGAAUGAGAAUUCUCUUGGCAGAAACCGAGGAAUGUUAAAUUAACCACGAGAAAAGGCCAAAGGACUCUGGGAUAAGAUGUCCUAUCUGUAUCUCCCCUGGGUCUGCCUUGGAAAAGGAAAAGCCAGUCCACUUCUGUGGAGCUCUGUCCACGUUCUGCAUCCUUUAUCACCCCCUGUAGCUGGUAGUUUGCAGGUUUGCAUAAUCGAUGGUUCACAACUGACUUGACUCCGGCCAGAGGAAGUUCUGAUGAAGCAAAAUCUCAAGAAAGUAUUACGCCCGCCCAUCAUAGUCUGAGGAGCGGCAGUCUAGUUCCAGUGGGGGAGGGUAACAUGGGUUAUUCUAGGCCAGAAUCAGUCUGUGCCAGAGAUGGAGGGAAACUGUCUUCCAAACAUCCCAGGCCUCACCUGAGUGUCACCAACCUUGUUGGAUGUCAGGUGGGCCUCGGCAGCCUGGAUCCAGCUGCCCCGUGUGAGAGGCCAUGUCACUAACCUGCCCGCCUCCAGGAAGUUCCUCCUCCAGAACUAAUCACACAUAAGUAAAAGCAUCUCCUACAAGAAGAGUGCGUUAGUCUGCUGACAUAACAAAGUACCACAAACUGGGUGACUUGAGAGAAAUUUAUUGUCUCACCGUUCUGGAAGCUAGAAGUCUGAAAUCAAGGUGUGGGUAAGAUUGGGUCCUUCUGAGGGCUGUGAGGGAAGGGUUCACUCCAGGCCUCUCUCCUGGGCUUGUUGAUGGCCAUCUUCCCCCCGUGUCUCUUCACAUCGUCUUCCCUCUCUGUGCAUCUGUCUCCAAAUUUCCCCCCUUGAUAAGGACAUCAGUGAUUUUGGAUCGGGGGCCCACCCUACUCCAGUAUGACCUCAUCUUAACUAGUUACAUCUGCGAUGACCCUAUUUCCAAAUAAGGGCACAUUCUGGGGUUAGGAUCUCAGCACAGGAAUUUUGAGAUGGACACAACUCAGAUCAACUCUGACUUCUGAUGGGAGAAGCAGAGGAGCUGUUCAGUGGUUCAGGAAGGGAUGAUGCUGAGGAAAUCGUUUCAUUUUAGUCUCUCGGUAACUCCGAAAGGAAGGGAAUUCAAGUAUUAUUGCCAUUUUGCAGAUAAGAAAGCUGAAAUAUUUCAGACAGUGUCAUGGAUUGGGCCGUUUCUAUGGAGGGCUAUGAUCGCAACAAUUUUUCCUAAUUUUCUUCUCAGAAGGCAGGCUUUUUUAAAAUCUAGACUUUGCGGGUACCUUCACAUUGGCCCUGUGUGCCCACUGCAAUGCCAACCUGAAUUAAUAACUAAAACUUUUCGGAAUACUAAGAGUAAUUGUAAUAGGGUGAUGAAAUUACAGGUGGAUUUUUCUUUUCUUGACCUAUUCUCUAUUUUCCAAGUGUUUUGUAAAGUGGGAAUGUUGCAUAAUUUAACAUUUUCAUCUAGGGGCCGGCCCGGUGGUGCAGCGGUUAAGGUCACACGCUCCGCUUCUCAGCGGCCCGGGGUUCGCCGGUUCGGAUCCCAGGUGUGGACAUGGCACUGCUUGGCACGCCAUGCUAUGGUAGGCGUCCCCCAUAUAAGUAGAGGAAGAUGGGCAUGGAUGUUAGCUCAGGGCCAGGCUUCCUCAGCAAAAAGAGGAGGACUGGCAGUAGUUAGCUCAGGGCUAAUCUUCCUCAAAAGAAUAAAAAAAUAAAAAUAAAAAAUAAAAUUUUCAUCUUAAGUGUUUUUGGAGUGAGAGAGGCUGAGUUCUAACCAUCCACCUCUGGAAGAGCUAAGACCUUCCUUUCACCUCACCACUUAGUCUCCAGCACCUCCAGCCCAGGCUGAGUCUUUCUCGCACAGGCGUGAGAGGCAGGGGCUGCUCACUUUGUGAGCCACAUCUUUGCUCCAAGACACAGAAGGUGCCUGGGGAUGGUGCCGCAGAGAGGGUCACUUCACCCAGCUGAUCCAUUCCAGACUGAGCUGACUUGUGAAACUGAAUGACUUCAUCAACCUUUGGGUGUAAUUUCACAUCUGCUUCCAUGGAGGAACCUCAGGGCUUACUAUAGAGAGAAAAUAAAGACUGAAUUUCCCUGGCCUGACCGUCCCCUCCUCCCCAAUCCAUUUGGCCAGGAUGGGAGUGAGGCCAGUGGGGGAAGAGAUGGGGAAAGGAGAUAAAGAGAGAAAGGAAGAGGCUAGAGGGGAGGGGCAGAAUUAAUGCCAACAAAGAAGUUGGGAGCUCAUCCACCUUGCCUUCCCACCUCCUAGGCUGCAGAAGAUUCUUGCUUGGUACUCUCUAGAAAUCCUCUCAAAGACAAGGUUACAAGGGCUAGACGACCUCAUAGGCCAACUAGGCAUGUGCUUAGUGGAUGAAGAGAUGUGCAAGUACUAUUGCAAGUCUCUGGUAGGGAAAGUGGCGACUGGCAGUGCCUGCUGACCCUGAGAAUAGUGUUUUCAGGUCCAACAUUUAGGAAUUUGCUCAGAUUGACUCUAGUCAAGCAUCAAAGAAAUUUGCCCAAUAAAUUCCUAGGUAGUCUCCUAGGCAGGUGGCCAUGAACAAUGUCCUAUUAGCAGAACCACUCAAAGGGGGCCAAACUCCAGAGGUGGAUUCAGGAAGAAAAAGCAAGUCCUAUUAAGUGAGUCCCUCACUUAAGAGACAGACGGGGCAAAAUUGCCUGGUAUGUGACAUUUGUCCUCCGUAUCUUCUUCUUCCCCUUUGUGAAUCUCCCUCUAAAUUUCCAGCUAAUUUCAGCGCACCUCGGGUCACACCCCUGAGGCCCACUCUCUGCAAGCAGUUCUCGAGUCUCUCCCCUCCCUCCUCUGAGCCCUCCUCUCUGAGGACCACGCGGCCCCAUCUCACCGGCUCCCAAGUGCACAGACUGCCCCCACUUCCCCCAGCAAUUUCUGUGACUCUGAUUUAGCUUAUAAAUGGGAGACCAGGGGGAGGGAUGUUUUUGUGUGCUCUUUAAUUCCAGUAUGUAAUAAAUUAUGCCUGUUUUGAUUAAUCCUUCAAUAAAUGAACAAAUGAAUGAAUGAAUCUUCAAGACAUUCAGCAACAGCUUUUUAUUAAUGUGGAGUUUAUGUAAUCGCAUCCUGGAUCCAGGAACCAUCCUGGAUGUGCUGCUGGACGCAGGGGCUAGGAGCAAGGCUCUCCUCCCAGGACAGGCAAGGUGAGUGUGCUGGGAGGGGGAGAGCAGCAAAAUGUGGUCAUCCGAACACUCCCAAAAAGCUUCUGGAUCGUGGAUAAGACAUUGUG